rnacentral:rRNA from 1 species
UACGGAGGGUGCAAACGUUGCUCGGAAUCAUUGGGCGUAAAGCGCACGUAGGCGGCCAACUAAGUCGGAUGUGAAAUCCCCAGGCUUAACCUGGGAACUGCAUCCGAUACUGGAUGGCUUGAAUCCGGGAGAGGGAUGCGGAAUUCCAGGUGUAGCGGUGAAAUGCGUAGAUAUCUGGAGGAACACCGGUGGCGAAGGCGGCAUCCUGGACCGGCAUUGACGCUGAGGAGCGAAAGCCAGGGGAGCAAACGGG